AUAAUAUCUGUAUAUCUCCAUCAAUUAUAGGAGGAAGAAAAGAAAUAAAGAGACAUGAAAAACAACAUGAUCAACUAUAAUAAAACUACCAUGUGCAACGUAUACGUAAGAAAUUUAAAUCAGCAAAAGUCAAUGAUAAACAAAUUAGGAAUAACAACCCAGGUUGUUACAACCAGGGUUGUUAAACAGAUAUAAGCAAAAAUUCACAUUUUUGUUUUUACGGUGCCAUGUAUAUUAUUUUGAGAGACUUUUUAUUGGUAGCAUCUUAUAUAUAGGAACAAAUAAGAUAAAACUAUUUAAUCUAUCAAGGUGGAAAUUUUCCUUCGGCUCUAAAAUGAUAAAUCAUAUUCAUAGAAUCACAUUAUCAACAAUUUGUGAAUAGAGCAAAACACUUAGCACGCUAUAGGUAAAUGUUAUUUAGUUUGGUUAAGAAUAAUUAUUGCACUGUCAAUAAAUGACUUCUAUGUUCUUAGUUGCCAAAGGAACACAGUAACAUCUCCAUGAGUUCAGAGGGUCAAACUGAUAAAUAAAGAGGAUGGAUGCUCUCUGCUAAAAUAUUUCCUGCCAUCUUCCAUUUUCUUUCAGCAAACAGUUGAGACAGAGAUGUUUUUGGUGUCACCACCAUUUACCUGCUGUUAUACCUGCCAUUCAAAGUAUUCUUAAAAGAUUCUGUUACUCAUGUGACCAAACCAGCCGAGAAGAUGAAAAGUUAAAACUUGAGUUAAAAUGUUGUUCUAACUUGAGUUAAGUUAAAACUCUAGUUAGAAUGUUAAGUUUUAACAUUUUAACUCAACAACCUCUAGUCGUGUACAACUAGAGGUUGUACAGAACCUCAAGUUGGGUAACCCCAAGAUCACUGGGUCUUCUUAAAAGAUAGAGUCUCUGAGAACAGUUCUUAAA